rnacentral:rRNA from 1 species
GACGAACCGAGCAAACGUUAUUCGGAAUCACUGGGCUUAAAGGGCGCGUAGGCGGGCAUUCAAGUCUAUGGUGAAAUCCGGCAGCUCAACUGUCGAAUUGCCGUGGAUACUGGGUGUCUCGAGGGAGGUAGGGGCGCGCGGAACUAAUGGUGGAGCGGUGAAAUGCGUUGAUAUCAUUAUGGAACUCCGGUGGCGAAGGCGGCGCGCUGGACCUCUUCUGGACGCUGAGGCGCGAAAGCCAGGGGAGCAAACGGG